rnacentral:rRNA from 1 species
UUCUAACUCCGUGCCAGCAGCGGGUGGAAUACGGAGGAGCCAAGCGUUGUCCGGAAGUAUUGGGCUUAAGGGGUCCGUAGGCGGUAUUAUAACUCUGUGGUGAAAGCCCAUCGCUCAACGAUGGAAGUGCCAUUGAUACUGUAAGUCUUGAGUAUAUUUGAGGUAGCUGGAAUAAGUAGUGUAGCGGUGAAAUGCAUAGAUAUUACUUAGAACACCAAUUGCGAAGGCAGGUUACCAAGAUAUAACUGACGCUGAGGGACGAAAGCGUGGGGAGCGAACAGGUUUAGAUACCCCAGUAGUC